UGCAUUUGUGCUGAAAACAGUGUUGAUAAUACAGGGAUGUUGGGUGGGGACACAGCUGGGACAGCUGACCCCAACUGACCCAAGGGAUAUUCCAGACCAUAUGACACCAUGCUCAGCAUAGAAAGCUGGGGGAAGAAGAAGGAAGGGGGGGAAUGUUUGGAGUGAUGGCGUUUGUCUUCCCACGUAACCGUUAGGCGUGAUGGAGCCCUGCUUUCCUGGAGAUGGCUGAACACCUGCCUGCCCAUGGGAAGUGAUGAAUGGAUUCCUUGGUUUGCUUUGCUUGCUUGCGUGGCUUUUGCUUUACCCAUUAAACUGUCUUUAUCUCAACCCACGAGUUUUCUCACUUUUACUCUUCCGAUUCUCUCCCCCAUCCCAAGCAGGGGGAGUGAGCGAGCGGCUGUGUGGGGCUUAGUUGCUGACUGGGGUUAAACCACAACAGGGCUGUUUUGGUUGUUGGUUUUUUUUUUUUUUUUCUUGUGAAGAGGUUGCUGUGCUGAAAUGGUGCUUUCUUUGCAAAAUGGCAAAUUGAGUGGGUCCCCCCUCCUGUUGCACGUGCAAUUGCCUUGGUGCCACUGGGGUCCUUCUGCAGCUGCAGGAGUGUAAGAACAAACGGGAAAGACAAGCAGUUAACCAAAGCAGGACAAAUGGAAAACCAAGAUGCUCAGUGAAAUACUUAGCAAACUGUUAUGAGCAAGGAAAAGGUUGUUCCUCUUCUAUUUAUUAUAAGGUUUGGAAGCAAGGCACUGCCUGCUUGCAGAGAGCUGAAUACCUGCAGCAAAGCCUUGCCUUAUAUUUGCACGUUUCCUUGAGUUAAGGCAGGGAAGAUAGAUGAUAAAAUGCUUUUGAUCAGAGGCACUUAAAUAGCAGAAGUCUCCUGUACAAGCAUGUUUUCCUGCUCUGAUGUACUUAAGAGUGUGUCUCAGCCAGGGCUCGGUGGCUGUGAUGAUGAUGCACGGCACAUGGUCGUGGUGGCAUCUUGCACUGGCAGACCUGGGACGGCCGCUCCUCAGGAGCAGGAGGUAAUGCAGAUUUCAUGUCAGCCUUGUCCCGGGUCCCUCGAGCCAACGUGGCCAUGGCUCUGCAGCGAUGUUUGGUUGUUCUGGGAUGGAUAUUUGCUCUCGGCUGCAUGUCUUUUACAAGGGCACAAAUGUAAUGGCAAAAGAAACCACUUCAGUAAUGUACUCAAAAGUAAAUAUUUUAUACGGUACUAGAGUAAUGCGAUGUACCGCCUUCUUGACAUACUUUGCUUUUUGCCCAAGGUCUGGGAUUUGGGGCCGUUUGCAGGGCUGGAUUCCUGUGUCGUCUUCUCUCCAGGGCCUUGUGUGCCCUUUUCACAAGGUGCUGAAUUUCUUUCUGUCCCUAUAAAAUGGUAAGAGCAAUUCAAUCGCAGUUUCUGGAAAAAAGUGAAUUCUGAUUAUCUGAUGGUUAUUGUUUUAAGUUCUCAGGAUCAAUAGCGCUAUAUUAAAGCAAGGUACUUGCUCCUUUUCGAGGUGCAAUGUGAAAGGAGAUUCAUGAUGAUAAAUGUCCGGCAGCCCGCAUGCUGGGUGCCAGGGACCUCAGUUGGGGAACAGCUAGAAGGCACAGGCCAGUGAGUUUUCACAUAAAUGUAUAUACCUAUAUAUCUAAUUUGCACUUACUGAUACCCCAGCUGUAGUAAUUGGGUGAUGACUGACUGCCUUAGCAACUUCAUCGUAGGCAUUUGCAAGACAGUGCAUGUUCUGGAAAGCUCAGGCUGCAAACCAAGGUAUCUGCAAGAUGUAAAACUUACUUACUUAUCUGAUAGUUUUAAACAAUCAGCUAAGUGUUUGUCUUUUUGACCAAACCCAAAGAACUUGCACAGCACCAACAUCACCGUCUCACUGGCACAAGACAUCAUCAGAGGUGUCUGGCACUGGUUUUUAUUCCACCCCAUACCUCCGCCUGGGGAAAGCUGUGUCAGAUAUGGCAAGACACCUCAUCCCUGCCUUGCCUGUGCCACAAAGGCUGGUGACAGGUUGUUAAACCCCUGAUGCAAGGGGCUGGGUAUCGUGUGCGGAGCAACGAGUGCUCAAAGUGCAUUUUUGCAGAGGACUAUAAAUGCUCUCGCAUUACCUGGCGGUUACGUUCCAAUCAAUAUGGUUUUCACAGACCAGGAUUAGUUAUGUCACCUUUUGUACUCCAAGGUAACUCAAAGUACUUCAUAAAGUAAUGAGUUUAGCUAUAGAUAGCACAGGUUAAUGGCGCAGCCAUUACAUACUCAGUGAUAAAGCUUCUGUGCGGUCUCGGAUAUUAUAAAUCUGGUUUAUUAAGAAUGGAAAUAUUGACAAAGACCCAAUUCUGCUUUAUUCCUUCUGUAGCCUCCCAGGGAUUUUUGACAAGCCACUUCUGGCAGCUUCCAGCACAGAUAGAGAGAGACUUUAAUCUCUCAGAGGAAAACUGCUCCUUUAGGGAUCUGCCUUGUGUGGGAAAGGAGGCCGUCGUAAAUAAUAACCCGAGGAUCGCUGCCAUCUGAGCAGAGGGAAGUGCCCGUGAGGGUACUGGCAAAGCCCGCCCCCUUUGGGUACCCUCGCUUGUCCUUAGUGCCUUUCAGUUUACACCGGGAUUAAGAGGGAUGCUGCUGCUCUGGUUAAGGAGUGCUUGUGGCGCGGUGCUGCCAUUGCUGUGGCUGGACGGAGACGUGCUGGGGGUAUUUUCAAGGUAACUAGUCAAAGGAGCUAUUUAGCUGGGCACGCGGUUCCCGCUGGUGUCCGUGUGUCCCAGUGUCCCCCGUCUGACCCCCCCACGCAUCUUGGUCCUUUGCAGCACUUUCGACCCUGCUUGGAAAAGGGAGAGUGAUUGCUGCGCAAUACGGCUGCUCACGGGGUCUUCUUCGCAACAAAUUUACAUACUACUACUAUUAAAUACAGCCAAAGAAUCCAAAGCUCAGUCUCAGGGCUCCUGUUAGCACCAGUACACACUACUGCUGGGCAGAAGGGAUGCACGCGCCAAGGGACCGUGAAGCGCUGCUUUCCGCAUGCUUGGCUGGAAUAGCUCCACGGCUUGCUGGAACCGCGUGUCCUUCCCGGUCCUUGCUCAGCCCCGGGAGCCUGCGGGACCUGCUGAGGCCUCUCGCUAACUCAUUGCAUAUGUGGGUUGAUGUUGGGGUGAGGGUGAUGGAAACCCAACUAUCCGCUCAGACCCUGCUAGCAAGUAAAGACCGCGGCAGGUACCUCAAUUGCGCUAAAGCACAAAGAUCUUGCGUUGCAGGAGCGAAAUCGCCACCUGACUGAUUUGCACCAACAGUUUAGUGCAGCACAAACAGGUCCGUGGAAGGAGGAUCCUGCACGAUGGCCUCCUUGCUGCUCGAAACAACUACGUGGGCUGGGGGCGAGCCACGCUUCUUGCUUUAAUGAAUGCAAAUUUCCCACCACCCUGCAAGUGGAGAAGCAGCCAGGAUCUCCAAAAACCCCACUGAUGCCUGCGUACGUGGACCCACACCUGCAACCAGGCACCCGUUUACCGGCUCCCUGCAAGCGUUAAGUGCCAUUAGCGAAUGAGCUGGGGUGUGCAUGUGGGGAAGGACGAUGAAAUGAAAGAAUAAAAAUAAUUAAAAAAAAAGCAAGUGAGACUAUUCAAAAGGG